CAAUAGCGUAUAUUAAAGUUGUUGCAGUUAAAAAGCUCGUAGUUGGAUUUCUGGAUUGAACAUUAGGUCCUUUAGUUAAUUCUAUUGUGUACUUGUAUGUUUGGUUCAUUUUUUGUGUAGUUGUUUGUCUGGCAUUAAGUUGUUGGAUGAAUGUACUCGCAUCUUUUACUGUGAAAAAAUUAGAGUGUUUAAAGCAGGCGUUAGCCAUUUUUGAAUACAUUAGCAUGGAAUAAUAAUAUACGACUUUGGUGGUCUAUUUUGUUGGUUUGCACACCAUAGUAAUGAUUAAUAGGGACAGUUGGGGGUAUUCAUAUUUCAGCGUCAGAGGUGAAAUUCUUGGAUCGCUGAAAGAUGAUCUUAGGCGAAAGCAUUUACCAUGGAUGUUUUCAUUAA
rnacentral:rRNA from 1 species